AAGUCCCUGCGGUGUUCGAGAGUGACAUUAGUUUCUUGACCCGAUAAGCAUUUAUGCACGGGGGUUGAUUGGUUGCAGGCGUGCAAGCUCAUUAUGAAUGAGAAGCCCAGAGUUGCCAAGAUGCUCCCACUUGAACCAAAAGAUGGUUCGAGGACACCGUUCGCAACGGCAUUGUGGGGCACUU
rnacentral:other from 1 species